rnacentral:rRNA from 1 species
GUGCUGUGAGCUCGAUGAGUAGGGCGGGACACGUGGUAUCCUGUCUGAAUAUGGGGGGACCAUCCUCCAAGGCUAAAUACUCCUGACUGACCGAUAGUGAACCAGUACCGUGAGGGAAAGGCGAAAAGAACCCCGGCGAGGGGAGUGAAAAAGAACCUGAAACCGUGUACGUACAAGCAGUGGGAGCCCCACCACUAAGCCAGUGGUGAACUCCACAUACGCAUCCUUUGCUGAGGAUACGGUUAACGGAGCGAAAGCGACGUUCAACCUCAAAAGAAGCAGAGGGGGCUUAGUGGUGGGGUGACUGCGUACCUUUUGUAUAAUGGGUCAGCGACUUAUAUUCUGUAGCAAGGUUAACCGUAUAGGGGAGCCGCAGGGAAACCGAGUCUUAACCGGGCGUUAAGUUGCAGGGUAUAGACCCGAAACCCGGUGAUCUAGCCAUGGGCAGGUUGAAGGUUGGGUAACACUAACUGGAGGACCGAACCGACUAAUGUUGAAAAAUUAGCGGAUGACCUGUGGCUGGGGGUGAAAGGCCAAUCAAACCGGGAGAUAGCUGGUUCUCCCCGAAAGCUAUUUAGGUAGCGCCUCGUGAACUCAUCUCCGGGGGUAGAGCACUGUUUCGGCUAGGGGGCCAUCCCGGCUUACCAACCCGAUGCAAACUGCGAAUACCGGAGAAUGUUAUCACGGGAGACACACGGCGGGUGCUAACGUCCGUCGUGAAGAGGGAAACAACCCAGACCGCCAGCUAAGGUCCCAAAGUCAUGGUUAAGUGGGAAACGAUGUGGGAAGGCCCAGACAGCCAGGAUGUUGGCUUAGAAGCAGCCAUCAUUUAAAGAAAGCGUAAUAGCUCACUGGUCGAGUCGGCCUGCGCGGAAGAUGUAACGGGGCUAAACCAUGCACCGAAGCUGCGGCAGCGAACGUAUCACCCAAGACAACUUUACGGAGUUAACGAUUGACGGAGCGAAGCGACGUCAAAGCGUUCAUUAAAGUCGAGUUGGCUUAGGGAUACGUUCGUUGGGUAGGG